rnacentral:tRNA from 1 species
GGGGUUGUGGCUCAUCGGUAGAGCGCUCACCUCGCAAGUGCGAGAUUCUGGGUUCGAUCCUCAGCACCA